CUUAAUUAUUCAUGUAUGCAGAAAGGCUAAGAAGGUGUGUUAGACUGGCAACACUGGGUAAGAAAUCAAAAAAGGACUGCUUAGUGUGCCUCUUUAGUCAACAUGAAAAAGAAGAAAAGAACAAGCAACUGAAUGAUCCUCUGAUGGCCUCAAGGCAGUGGAUUGAGAAUAUCUCUUAAGUACAAGGAGGUAUUCUAGGAUGGAACGGAGUGUUUGGCAUCUCUACUUCAUCUUUCGUAAAGGCUGAAUGAACUCUUUGCUGCCACUUAUUGAAGAUAAAAGGAGGCAGAAUUACCCUUAAGUAAAUACUUUGGCCUCAGCAUUUCCUCCACUUUGUACAUUAAUAAAAAUCCCUUUCUGUCACCCUGUCAUUUGACUGUCAUUGUCAAUCUACAUAGAAUGUUUCUUCAUGAGAGGGCUUAUUCAUUCAACAAGAUUUUAUUAACCAUCUGCUACUGACCAGAAACUGUGGUAGUCACUGGAGUGCCAAGUAAGAUAAGUGGCCAUGGAGUGCCAUGGCAUUCUUGUAGCACACAUAUUGUAGUAAAAGUAAUCUUCACAUACUGUUUAAAAUAUAUUUAUUGCAAAUGUAAUGUGAAGGGACACAGGGUAAUCAAUAGAGUAAAAAGGCAAAAAAAUCUUAAAAUGAGAACAGAAAAGUACUGAUUGGUUGGGCAAAAUGAAAGCCAUUGAUGACUUUAGUGAUUUGAAGAGUGAGGUGAAAAUCUGGAGUAACUUCUGAGAAAGUGACAAUGGCAGCAUUGAGUACCCAGCUGAAGGUGGACUGAAGCUGGAUGGCAGUUGAUCAUUUUGCACAAAGUAAAGUGGCCUAGGGAUUGGAGGUCUCACUGAAGAUGAAGAGCGGCUGGAAUGGCAGUAAGAAAGUGAAUGAGGCCGGGCGCGGUGGCUCACGCCUGUAAUCACAGCACUUUGGGAGGCCGAGGCGGGUGGAUCACGAGGUCAGGAGAUCAAGACCACCUCGGCUAACACGGUGAAACCCCAUCUCUACUAAAAAUACAAAAAAUUAGCCGGGCGUGGUGGCACACGCCUGUAAUCUCAGCUCCUUGGGAGGUUGAGUCAGGAGAAUUGCUUGAACCCGGGAGGUGAAGGUUGCAGUGAGCUGAGAUGGCGCCACUGCACUCCAGCCUGGGCUACAGAGCAAGACUCCGUCUCAAAAAAAAAAAAAAAGUGAAUGACUUUGAAGGACUGAUUUGGUCAGAGGAUGCCAUUACAGAAUUUGGAUUUCAGAGAUGAUAAAAUGCAAGAGAUGUAGGGUUCAGGGUUCUCCAGAGAAACAGAAACAAUAGGAUAUUGAUGUAUCUAUCUAUCUGCCUGUUCAUCUAGAGAGAGAGGUGGGGAGAGAAAUGCUGUGCUAUGGACUAGGUUGUGUCCACUUCCCUCGAUUCAGAUGUUGACGCCCUAACCUUCUAUGUGGUGGUAUUUGCAGUUGGGUCCUUUGGUAGGUAAUUAGGUUUAGGUGAGGUCGUGAAGGUGGAGUCCUCUUGAUGGGAUUAAGAGCUCUUCCAAGACGGAACACCAGAGAGGCUGCUCUCUCUCCUCCUUGUGAUGAGACAGUGAGAAGGUGCCAUGUGCAAGCCAGGAAGAGAACCCUCACCAAGAAUUGACCUCUUCCAGAGCUUUGAUAUUGGACUUUCCAUCUCCAAAUCUAUGUGAAAAUAAAUUUCAAUUAUUUAAGCCACCCAAUCUAUGGUAUUUGUAUUGGCAGCCUGAUGAGACUAACACACACAUCUCACACACACACACACACACACACACACACCUUAAGGACCUGGCUUCUGUGAUUGUGGAGUAUUAGAAGUUUGAAAUCUGUACGGUGGACCAGCAGGCUGGAAACUAAGUUGGGAACUGAUACUGCAGUCUUGAGUUUGAAAUCCACAGGGCAAGGAGGUGGGCUAGAAACUCAGGCGAGAUUUGAUGCAGCAGCUUGGAGGCAGAAUCCUGGGAUGGGCUGUGGAAAUGAAGACAAAAUACCUGUCAUUAAAGUUGAGGAUGAGCACAUGCAGAGCUAGGCUAUUGGUUGAUUCAUGUGCAGAAGUCAGCUAUUUGGUGCUGACAGUAGAUAUCUGACGUAAUUAAUAUAUACUGUUCUCAUUCUUAGGACACACAUUCAGAAUUCUUUUUGCAUUUUAUCUCUUCAGUGGCCCAAAUGUAACAAGAAGAUUGCACAACUGGCCAGGCAUGGUGGCCCAAACAUGUAUUCCUGAUACUUUGGGAGGCCAAGGAAGGAGGUUUGCUUGAUGCCAGGAGUUUGAGAUCAGUCUAGGCAACAUAGCAAGACUCUGUCUCUACAAAACAAUCAUACACACACAAAAAUUAGCCAGGGACAGUGGCUUGUGCCUUUAAUCCUAGCUACUCGGGAGGCUGAGGUAGGAUUGCUUGAGCCCAUGAGGUCAAGCAGCACCUUGUUUCAAAAAAAAAGAUUGCUUAGUUUGUGAUAUUUUCAAUGUGUCCUCAGUUUAGGAACUUUG
rnacentral:lncRNA from 1 species